UAAACUCUUGAGCACAAAGCCCAUUCAAUAUGUACAUAGCCCAAUCGGCGCUCCACUCCCCACUCUGCCCCGUCGCUCCGCCUCCCUUUUCUUUCACCAGCCCCGUCGGCUUCCGGUAUUAAUGAUGAUUUUGGAAGGCGAUUCUGGGUGUGGCAUAAUGAAUAAAAUUGCCAAAAAGGGUCGUUUAUCUGCAAGGAAAGAAACGAAACUGAGAGAUGUUUUGUUUGCAAAUCUACCGGAAGAGAUUACGAUAGAGAUCUUACGAAGACUCACCAUUAGGAGCGUUAUGACGUGCAAGUGUGUUCUUCGUAAAUCAUGGCGCGAUCUAAUUGAGGGGGAGGACUUUGGGAUGUCGUAUACUCCAAAACCAGGCCUAUUUUUCGUGUAUGGAGACAUGGAAAUGCAGUACGUUGUCUGCGAUGAGGCCUUAAAGCCACUUUUCCGAUUCGGUUCGCCUUCUCAUAAUCAAUUUUCCACUGCUCACUAUCGUGUUAUAGUUGCUUCAGCUAAUGGUUUCCUUUCAAUUUGGGACUAACGUGAUAACAUUCUAUUUAUAUGCAACCCAAUGACUCGUGAGCAUGUCGAGCUCCCUCGUCUAUCUAAGUACAAUAAAGUUUGUUCCUUUUGGGGCUUUGGAGUGAGCAAAA